CUAACUACUAGAUAGCCCUUUUCAAGAUUAUCGCAUACAUAAGAAUUUACCCAGAGUCGGCAAAAAAUGAAUGUUCAGCUUCAAACUUAACAUUCAUACUUCUGGAUCAUUUUAAACGUUAUUGGUAAUCACGCUGGUGAUUUACGAAGAUGUUUAAAAUGAGGUUUGAAAGUUAUUUAUUAAAAACUGGAGCGGCCACAUAAGUCGGUCGAAAAAUUAAUGGAAAAUUAUAAAAAUGUUGUAAAGCAAAAGUUUUAGAAUGUCAUUUUAUUUUUUCUCAACUUCUACAAAUAUUAACACAAGAGGAUCAUUGAAACUUCCUAAUGGUUAAUCAAAGAAUAUCAAGGAAGAAUGAAGUAGUAUAUAUUGUAUAAAUAGUAUAUAUUCUUAUUUGCAGUAAUAUAAGAGUCUAUAUGAUGAAUCAUUAACCACUGUGUUAUUGAAUGAAAAUAUAAUACUUACAAAGAGUUAUUGCAAUAUGGUUAUUGAAUGAAGAUAUAAUACUUACAAAGAGUUAUUGCGAUAUGAUGAGAAGAUAAUCCACUAAAGCAGUAUCAUCUAAUUUGUACUUUUAACAAGAAAGUAACUGUACAUAUAAUAAAUACUAUUUUUUUAAAUAUA